GACGAACGCUGGCGGCGUGCUUAACACAUGCGAGUCGAACGGAAAGGCCCUGCUUUUGUGGGGUGCUCGAGUGGCGAACGGGUGAGUAACACGUGAGUAACAUGCCCUUGACUUUGGGAUAACUCCAGGAAACUGGGGAGAAUACAGGAUAGGAGCUCCUGCUGCAUGGGGGGGGUUGGAAAGUGACGGCGGUGUGGGCUGGACUCGCGGCUUAUCAGCUUGUUGGGGGGGUAGUGGAUUCCCAAGGCUUUGAAGGGUAGCCGGCGUGGGAGGGUGACCGGCGACCUGGGGCCUGCGGGACGGCCCAGAAGCCUACGGGAGGCAGCGGUGGGGAGUUUUGCACAACGGGCGCAAGCCUGAUGCAGCAACGCCGCGUUCGGGAUGACGGCCUUCGGGUUGUAAACCGCUUUCGCCUGUGACGAAGCGUGAGUGACGGUAAUGGGUAAAGAAGCCCCGGCUAACUACGUG
rnacentral:rRNA from 1 species